rnacentral:misc_RNA from 1 species
GCAAACUUGGUCAUUUAGAGGAAGUAAAAGUCGUAACAAGGUUUUCGUAGGUGAACCUGCGGAAGGAUCAUUACUGAAGCACGAGGGGGAGUGCUGGCCUUUGCGCACGUGCACCGUCCUCACUUCACCCACACACACCUGUGCACCUCUCGAGGCGAGCCCUCCCCUGCCUGGAGCAGGGCCGUCCCCGGCGGUCGGGACUUGGCCCCGAGGGCUCGUCUACAAUUUUCACAAACGCGUCGUUUUGAUUUGGAACGUAAUCGCGGCUCUGCCGCAAAAACCAAUAGACAACUUUCAACAACGGAUCUCUUGGUUCUCGCAUCGAUGAAGAACGCAGC